CCACGUAUUGUUUACUACAUUUUCCGCAAGUAAUUAAAUAAACCACUCCCUGUAAUUGAUUGUAACUCUCAGGGGGUUUAUUUAAUUACUUGCGGAAAAUGUAGUAAACAAUAUGUAG